rnacentral:lncRNA from 1 species
GGAUGAACUGCAUUGGGGUCUCAAAUAUAAACAUACAGGGAGAGAAGCAGCUCUCAGGAGUAAGCUGGGAACAAGUGGCUGGAAGUCGGCAGACCUUGGAACCCCUUGUCAUCAUUCAAACUUGAAGUCACUUGUCUUCCAGAGGCCACUCAUCACUACAGAAGAUGGACGCGUGGCCGUGAAUUGCUUCACACCAGAGUCAUCUCCCGGAAACAGACACUCAGACCUGAACCUCGAGCAUGCGACAGCCCC